ACGCCGCCCGGCCGCCCGGUUUCCAGCAGCUUCCAGCGCCCCCUCCCCACCUCGCGCACUCGCGCGCCCGACAGCCCCGCGGCCCAAUGGCGGCGCGGCGCCCCGACUCCCGCAGCCAAUCGGAGGACGCCGGCCUCGCCGCGCCCCUCCUCCGUGCUGAGGGCUCGGGCGAGGGGCUGAGGCUCAAUCGCCGCUGUCGCCCGAGGGCGACCGAGAGUCGUGCUCCCCCGUGGGGGCGUGUGAGGGCGGCUUCGCCUCCGCCUCUGCUCGCUUCCUUUCUCGGGAAUGGUGGGCGCCGUCCCCACCCCUCACGGGCAGAGACGGUGGACAACAAAGGGGCUCCGGGGUGGCGGCCAGACAAAGAGGGGGGGACUCGGAGGGAUGCAGCGCCGGGGGGGCGGGGGGAAAGUUGGGAACAAAGCUAGGGGGCUGGGAGCGGCAGGGCGACGCGCCUCAAGAACCCCAAAGCAAAAAGUGCCUUUUGUCUCCCGGGCCGCCCAAACUUGCGGGGAGCCGGGGUGGCCCUGCCUCACCCGCCGCCCACCCGGGCCCGACGGGCCGCGCAGCUGGCAGAGUGCGAAACAGGUCGGACCUGGGCAGCGCCCGGAGGGACAGGCUGGGCAGCCAGGGCCGGCGCGAAAGGCCCCGCCUCCUCGAAAGGAAAGGCUGCGGGACAUGAGCCAGGAACUUGGUCUUAUUGCAUAAAGUGACUCGUUCCUCGUGUAAAAUGGAUUCAGCUACUGGUCCCUAGAUACUCUGAAAGAGCACUUAAAAUUGUUCCCUUUGGAGUUGCUUAAGUGUUAUCGGAAGAUAAAUUAGAAGACAAAUAAAUCGACUCAAGUAUGUCUGAUAGAACCCAAAAAGGUAGUGUAUUUCUGUAGUGCUUUUAAGGCCAUGUCUAUCAGAACGAAGCCGAUUCUGGAGAGAACCCAGAAACCAGUGUAUUUCAGUAGUACCUUCAGGGCCAUGCCCUAUCAGAAUGAGGCAGAUACUUGGGAGAGACCGAAACAGGACUAGACUGUCUAGGCUGUGGGGUCACCCGGGCUCCUGGACCAUGCCUAAGCACUCACAGAUACUCGAGGGGUUUGCAGCACAGACCUUGGCACCUGCAGAAGCUUCUGCUGCCCGGAAGUUUGGAGGUGGGUUCCUUUCCUGUGUCAGGAGAGGGGACAUGGGAACAUACCCAACCCUAACCAUCUGCCAGAGCUCGGUCCAGAAUUCUGCAUGGAAACCAGUGUUCACUGAAAGUUUUGAAAGCAUCACUCCAUUUUCUUACAAAUCCCAGAGCUGCUGUUAAAAAUGUCACUUUAGCUGGGCCUUGGAGCCUAUUUGGAAGGCUGAGGCAGGAGAAGCUUGAGUUCUAGGCCAGCCUGGGCUACACAGUAAGAUGCAAGACAAAGAAAUGCUGAACCUCCCAAAGCAAGGGACUGCCGUACCAUCACCUCCCCCACAGGCUGCACCUGCCGUCUACCUCGUCUGCCUCCAGUGUAGCGGCUGUAAUGAUGACGUCUGUCAUCACAUCUUCUGUAAGGAGGUUCGUCGAGGGGGAUGUCUCAGUGGUGAAGAGCACUAUCUGCUCUUCCACAGAAAUAAGGUUUGAACCUCAGCACCCAGUGGUGGCUCACAACCAUCAGGUGCCCUCUUCUAGCCCCUCAGAGCACUGCACGCACCUGAUGCUUGGACAUAUGUGCAGACAAAACCCCCAUAUACAGAGCACCAGCAGACGCUCUUUCAGUUUGACGCUCUGGAAACCAAGCUGCUAAGUGACAUCAGUUACCGCUGGGGUGUCAGCUGCCGAGCCUAAGCAGCAAGAGAAGAUGGAGAAGGUGGUCAGCCUACCAGCCAUGAACUUGGUGAUGUAGGACCCAGUGGUUGUUCUGGAAUCCUCAGCAGCCCUCACUCCCAGAACCACACCCUGCCAAACUGCACAGCCAUGAUAAAGAUCUCUGCUUAGACUUUCCUGUUUUCCCAGUCUGGGUGACAGCCUCCUCCAGCCCUACGCCUGUUCCACCAGCAGCUGCUAAGGUAGCUGCCAUUCUCCUCCAAUGCCACCCACCACAAAGAAGCUUGCAGGAGUCUUAGCUGUACCAUGUUGGAAGUCCUGAAUUGUUCUUAUUUAUUUCCUGUCUCCAUUUUCCAGUGCUUCUCAAUGACUUUCUCAACCUCUCACAACCUUCUCUUAAUUUACAACUGUUCUUCAAAUAUUUCCAUUAAAUUGUUUUUAGACUUGA